ACGCUCGACACCUACGGAAGGCAGCAGUGGGGAAUAUUGCACAAUGGGGGAAACCCUGAUGCAGCGACGCCGCGUGAGUGAAGAAGUAUUUCGGUAUGUAAAGCUCUAUCAGCAGGGAAGAAAAUGACGGUACCUGACUAAGAAGCCCCGGCUAACUACGUGUCAGCAGCCGCGGUAAUCUGAGCGGGCUGGCAAGGC
rnacentral:rRNA from 1 species